GACGAACGCUGGCGGCGUGCUUAACACAUGCAAGUCGAACGGAAAGGCCCUGCUUUUGUGGGGUGCUCGAGUGGCGAAUGGGUGAGUAACACGUGAGUAACCUGCCCUUGACUUUGGGAUAACUUCAGGAAACUGGGGCUAAUACCGGAUAGGAGCUCCUGCUGCAUGGUGGGGGUUGGAAAGUUUCGGCGGUUGGGGAUGGACUCGCGGCUUAUCAGCUUGUUGGUGGGGUAGUGGCUUACCAAGGCUUUGACGGGUAGCCGGCCUGAGAGGGUGACCGGCCACAUUGGGACUGAGAUACGGCCCAGACUGCUACGGGAGGCAGCAGUGGGGAAUAUUGCACAAUGGGCGGAAGCCUGAUGCAGCAACGCCGCGUGCGGGAUGACGGCCUUCGGGUUGUAAACCGCUUUAGACUGUGACGAAGCGUGAGUGACGGUAAUGGGUAAAGAAGCACCGGCUAACUACGUG
rnacentral:rRNA from 1 species